rnacentral:lncRNA from 1 species
CAACAAUUAUUUCUCAUAAGUAUGGAAAAUUUAGCUAUGAAGUCUUACCCAUUUACCUUAGUUCUUCGUGGGGCUUUUUGGCUUUUCCUUUGUCUUGGGCGGUUGAGAGACAGAACAGUUAGAUAUAGAGCACCACUUUCUUAUUCUUAGCGAGUUUCAUACCGGAGGUUUUUCAAUUUUUUCACAAGAAAACUAGGUUUCUCAAUUGAUUUCUCUCAAUCUCUCAAGUGGAUAAUGUACCUUACCAAAGGCAUUGCUUUUCUC